rnacentral:sRNA from 1 species
UUGAUUGAUAACUGAAGACCUCUAAUUAUCCACAAAACAGGUACAGCAUGGACAAUGGUGGUGGAAGUUUUCCCACAUUGCCCUGUCAUUCUGUCUCACCUUUUACCUGGCAGAAUUUAUCUUUAGAGGUGAAAGGAAGUUCAUUCUCGAUGACCGUUCACUGCCUAGGCUCU